rnacentral:lncRNA from 1 species
UUCACGUUUCAAUGAUUUUAUUGAAAUUUUUGAAGAAUCCCCAUACAUUUCCUUAUAACACUGACACCAAAGAAACCAGGCUUGGGCUACCUGUGGUUACGUCACUGUUCGCAUUACUCUUUUAUUAGUUUUGCGUAAUAUAAAUUAUUAAAAUAUAUUGUUAAUUGUGAACAAUUCGGUUUGGAGACUCCAAUGAAAUAUUCUAAUGAAAACAGCAUUCCCCAAAAAGUUACUAAAAUAAACCUUCUGUCAAUUCAACAGCCCCAUAGCUUGCAUUGAAACUGACCAUUGAAAAUCUUCAAGACUUCAGAUGAUUAAUACCGUGCUGAGAGAAGCUAUCGAAAACUAAACAAAAAUUCAGUACGGAGUAGUCAAAUAUUUGCAUCUGGCCUCUGAAUCGUAUAAUUAUGGUUUUUAUGGUUUUUUCUUUUUGCUUUUUAUAUAAAUGUGGUUGAGUGAAAUAAGGGAACGUUACUUUGACUGUCAAAAAAUUCCGGCCAAUUUAAGAUUGCAGAUCGACCAGUCAUUUCAUCCCAAAUAACCGAAUGUCUUAUGUUAACUUUGUUAUCAAGUAAACUUUACGUCGGUAAUUUGUGGAUCAGGACCGGAUGGCCCAAGAAAUAUAUUGAUUCACUGUAAUUACGGUAAAAGUAACUAUGGAAUAUUUGAUAUCUGAAAUUUCGUAUUGUAAACACAAAUUAUUUGUAAAGUUUAAUAUUUGAAAGGUUUCUCAUUAUUUUUAAUUUCAAUUUGUCGAUUUGUGCUCCAAUGAACAACUAGGUUUCCAAGAAGUGUCGCCACAAACAGUGGGAUAAAAACCAAAACCUGUAGGUGAAAAGAAAUAGCUGUGUAUCUGUCGCCAAAUCUGAAUUGCUUGGAUCUUUGUCGUUGGUACUGUAUAGUUGUUAUUUCUUGUUUUGAAUUAUUGGAAUAGCAUAGCAAGAUGAAAGCGACAUUUACAAAGUCGAUCAAGGAUGAACCCAAGAAAUUGUUCUAACUUUGGAGUGUGGGUAGAAGGCUCACAAACAGGAAUAGUAGAUCGGGACCACUUGCGUAGGCUCGGGAAGAAGGAGAAGGAUCGCCAUGCGAUCGAAAAAGCGAUUGCGGUCUUAGACUCUGGGCUCAGCAAGUUCAUUUUGAAGAAGACAUGCACAACAACAUGCUGGGUUGUAACAAAAAGUUGCGAGAGUUGAGAAUGCAAGCCGUAAAUGCGACAAUGGUAGGCAAAACGAGGAAACAGAAAUUGGCCGCCAUAUUGGAGAAGCUUCGCCACGGUAGAAAAAGCCUGGGAACCAGGCAGGCGUUGUCAAAAGUACAACUUUAUCAAGUGGAAGUUCUCGUUUGUAAUUUACUAUGCAAAGUGACUAUCCAUUGCAAUAAACAAGAUCUAAUGUAAUGCCAAGACGUUCAUCAUCCAACUUAUGAACUGUAAAUCUUAGCUUAUCUUUUUCUUUCGCAAGUUUGUUUCCUUCUGCUUGGCUAUAUAGUCCAGUAGCUUAAUGCUUAAAUCGUGACCGAGGUGACUAAAGCACCAAAUUUGGCACAGAACUUCGUUUUGAUGUAACAAACGAUUUCAGAAGGGGUGCCCAG